rnacentral:rRNA from 1 species
ACGGAAGGCAGCAGUGGGGAAUAUUGCACAAUGGGGGAAACCCUGAUGCAGCGACGCCGCGUGAAGGAUGACGUAUUUCGGUAUGUAAACUUCUAUCAGCAAGGAAGAUGAUGACGGUACUUGACUAAGAAGCCCCGGCUAACUACGUGCCAGCAGCCGCGGUAAUACGUAGGGGGCAAGCGUUAUCCGGAUUUACUGGGUGUAAAGGGAGCGCAGGCGGCCAUGCAAGUCAGAAGUGAAAGCCCGGGGCUCAACCCCGGGACUGCUUUUGAAACUGUAAGGCUAGAGUGCCGGAGAGGUAAGCGGAAUUCCUAGUGUAGCGGUGAAAUGCGUAGAUAUUAGGAGGAACACCAGUGGCGAAGGCGGCUUACUGGACGGUAAAUGACGCUCAGGCUCGAAAGCGUGGGGAGCAAACAGGAUUAGAUACCCUGGUA